rnacentral:lncRNA from 1 species
CAUAGGACCUGCGUUUGAGACGUGCCCUGUUGAUACCUGGAGGAAAGAAACGUCCUUAUCUCUGAAGACACAAGACUUCAGAGAUAGAUCUGAACAAACACCUCUUCGGCUGCCGAGUGUCUGACGGGACAAAUCCUUCCAACGGCCGCAGCAGGUGCUUCUUCUAGCCCUGUGUUGCAAUGACCUGCAGCUCCUGGGGAUAACUCAGGCACGCUGCUGACGCCAUCAGGAGGCUCAACACCCUCACCCGCUUACGCUACGACCAGCAAAAGCAAACCCCGCAGCUGCCUGCCAGCCGGGAAGAAGGACUGUGUUUCCAUGUUGUGAGUCUCCUCAUUGCAGCCAGAUGAUGAAUUUGCUGCUGGCUUUGUGCGAAACCGAGAAAUACCCAGCGUCCAGCUGAGGGCCCGGGUGGCAACAAAAUCAAGCUGAUGAAUUAAAGAAAUAUGGCCUGGUCAGGAUGCCUGGAGGCCUCAGAGUUCUGAUCUUUCUUCUGAGUUACUACAUCUUCUGAACUGCUCCCAGGAUGGUGUUUGUGAUAAGUUGGUUUGCCCAGUAAAACUGUCGCCCAGUGGAGGCAAGCCCUA